rnacentral:rRNA from 1 species
GUGGCGAACGGGUGAGUAACACGUGAGCAACCUGCCCCUGACUCUGGGAUAAGCGCUGGAAACGGCGUCUAAUACUGGAUAUGUGACGUGACCGCAUGGUCUGCGUUUGGAAAGAUUUUUCGGUUGGGGAUGGGCUCGCGGCCUAUCAGCUUGUUGGUGAGGUAAUGGCUCACCAAGGCGUCGACGGGUAGCCGGCCUGAGAGGGUGACCGGCCACACUGGGACUGAGACACGGCCCAGACUCCUACGGGAGGCAGCAGUGGGGAAUAUUGCACAAUGGGCGCAAGCCUGAUGCAGCAACGCCGCGUGAGGGAUGACGGCCUUCGGGUUGUAAACCUCUUUUAGCAGGGAAGAAGCGAAAGUGACGGUACCUGCAGAAAAAGCGCCGGCUAACUACGUGCCAGCAGCCGCGGUAAUACGUAGGGCGCAAGCGUUAUCCGGAAUUAUUGGGCGUAAAGAGCUCGUAGGCGGUUUGUCGCGUCUGCUGUGAAAUCCCGAGGCUCAACCUCGGGCCUGCAGUGGGUACGGGCAGACUAGAGUGCGGUAGGGGAGAUUGGAAUUCCUGGUGUAGCGGUGGAAUGCGCAGAUAUCAGGAGGAACACCGAUGGCGAAGGCAGAUCUCUGGGCCGUAACUGACGCUGAGGAGCGAAAGGGUGGGGAGCAAACAGGCUUAGAUACCCUGGUAGUCCACCCCGUAAACGUUGGGAACUAGUUGUGGGGUCCAUUCCACGGAUUCCGUGACGCAGCUAACGCAUUAAGUUCCCCGCCUGGGGAGUACGGCCGCAAGGCUAAAACUCAAAGGAAUUGACGGGGACCCGCACAAGCGGCGGAGCAUGCGGAUUAAUUCGAUGCAACGCGAAGAACCUUACCAAGGCUUGACAUAUACGAGAACGGGCCAGAAAUGGUCAACUCUUUGGACACUCGUAAACAGGUGGUUCAUGGUUGUCGUCAGCUCGUGUCGUGAGAUGUUGGGUUAAGUCCCGCAACGAGCGCAACCCUCGUUCUAUGUUGCCAGCACGUAAUGGUGGGAACUCAUGGGAUACUGCCGGGGUCAACUCGGAGGAAGGUGGGGAUGACGUCAAAUCAUCAUGCCCCUUAUGUCUUGGGCUUCACGCAUGCUACAAUGGCCGGUACAAAGGGCUGCAAUACCGUGAGGUGGAGCGAAUCCCAAAAAGCCGGUCCCAGUUCGGAUUGAGGUCUGCAACUCGACCUCAUGAAGUCGGAGUCGCUAGUAAUCGCAGAUCAGCAACGCUGCGGUGAAUACGUUCCCGGGUCUUGUACACACCGCCCGUCAAGUCAUGAAA